rfam:Myotis lucifugus cont2.14415, whole genome shotgun sequence.
GGCAGUUCUAGGGUGACGACCCCUGGAAUCGGGCUCCCUCCUCUCUGGUUCCGGGUGUGCCAUCUGAGAAACA